UCAGGCUGCACCCGGAGACACAAUCCGCAGCCCCUGGGUCUGUGCAGUGACCAGCCAGUCCCUGAGAACUUUCCCCUCCAGCACCCGGGAAAAUGGGACUUUUGCUCCUUGUAAUUUUGGCUCUAGCAGCUUUGGAAGGUGUCCAGUCCCAGGUGCAGCUGGUGGAGUCCGGAGGGGAUGUGAAAAAGCCCGGAGACUCUCUUCGCCUCUCCUGCAAAGCCUCCGGGUUCACCUUCAGCAGCUACUACAUGAGCUGGGUUCGACAGGCUCCUAGCAAAGGACUAGAAUGGGUCGCUUAUCUCAACAGCGCUGGGGGUGAUAUACAAUACAUUGAUUCAGUGAAAGGCCGAUUCACCAUCUCCCGGGAUAAUCCCAAGAGUGAGCUGUACCUGCAAAUGACCGGCCUGAAGCCCGAGGACACCGCCCGCUAUUACUGUGCGAGAUACACAGUGACACGAAAGCGCAUCAAGCCCCAGCUCUCCUUGGGCAACAAAGUGCCCAGCAACUACCUGGAUGUGUUGGGCAGCGGCCCUCCGGGCUACUGCUACAAAGUCUGCCUGACACCGGAGUCUGCCAAGAGCCACUUCAUGUUCCUAAAGCCUGAGUCCCUCCAGGAACAGCGAGAAAGUCACUGA